CCCUCUGUAGCUCAAUUGGUAGAGCGUCCGGCUGUAGAUGCAAUGCGACGAUCCCGAAUGGGAAUGGAUGAAACAUUGCCAGCCGUCACCGGAAGGUUCCUGGUUCAAUUCCGGGCGGGGGGA
rnacentral:tRNA from 1 species